rnacentral:rRNA from 1 species
GAUGAACGCUAGCGGCAGGCCUAACACAUGCAAGUCGAGGGGUAGCAGGAUUAAGCUUGCUUAAUUGCUGACGACCGGCGCACGGGUGCGUAACGCGUAUGCAACCUACCUUAUACUGGGGUAUAGACCGGAGAAAUGCGGAUUAAUUCCCCAUAGUACUAAUGAAUCGCAUGGUGUAUUAGUUAAAGCCUUGCGGUAUAAGAGGGGCAGGCGUCCUAUUAGCUAGAUGGUGAGGUAACGGCUAACCAUGGCUACGAUAGGUAGGGGGCCUGAGAGGGUGGUCCCCCACACUGGUACUGAGACACGGACCAGACUCCUACGGGAGGCAGCAGUGAGGAAUAUUGGUCAAUGGGCGCAAGCCUGAACCAGCCAUGCCGCGUGCAGGAAGAAUGCCCUAUGGGUUGUAAACUGCUUUUAUUUGGGAAUAAACCUCUUUACGUGUAGAGAGCUAAAGGUACCAAAUGAAUAAGCACCGGCUAACUCCGUGCCAGCCGCCGCAGUAA